rnacentral:rRNA from 1 species
AAGUCAUAAUGUUCUGGAGCAUUAUUAUAGUAACAGAGGGUUUGAUCAUGGCUCAGAUUGAACGCUGGCGGGAUGCUUUACACAUGCAAGUCGAACGGCAGCAUGGACUUCGGUCUGGUGGCGAGUGGCGAACGGGUGAGUAAUGUAUCGGAACGUGCCUAGUAGCGGGGGAUAACUACGCGAAAGCGUAGCUAAUACCGCAUACGCCCUUCGGGGGGAAAGCGGGGAUCCUCGGGCCUCGCACUAUUAGAGCGGCCGAUAUCGGAUUAGCUAGUUGGUGGGGUAACGGCUCACUAAGGCGACGAUCCGUAGCUGGUUUGAGAGGACGACCAGCCACACUGGGACUGAGACACGGCCCAGACUCCUACGGGAGGCAGCAGUGGGGAAUUUUGGACAAUGGGGGAAACCCUGAUCCAGCCAUCCCGCGUGCGAUGAAGGCCUUCGGGUUGUAAAGCACUUUUGGCAGGAAAGAAACGGCGCGGGAUAAUACCCCGUGCAACUGACGGUACCUGCAGAAUAAGCACCGGCUAACUACGUGCCAGCAGCCGCGGUAAUACGUAGGGUGCAAGCGUUAAUCGGAAUUACUGGGCGUAAAGGCAAGCGCAGGCGGUUCGGAAAGAAAGAUGUGAAAUCCCAGAGCUUAACUUUGGAACUGCAUUUUUAACUACCGAGCUAGAGUGUGUCAGAGGGAGGUGGAAUUCAUGUGUAUGGUGAAUAUGUAGAUAUGCGGAGGAACACCGAUGGCGAAGGCAGCCUCCUGGGAUAACACUGACGCUCAUGCACGAAAGCGUGGGGAGCAAACAGGAUUAGAUACUCCUGGUAGUCCACGCCCUAAACGAUGUCAACUAGCUGUUGGGGCCUUCGGGCCUUGGUAGCGCAGCUUAACGCGUGAAGUUGACCGCCUGGGGAGUACGGCCGCAAGAUUAAAACUCAAAGGAAUUGACGGGGACCCGCACAAGCGGUGGAUGAUGUGGAUUAAUUCGAUGCAACGCGAAAACUCACCUACCCUUGACAUGUCUGGAAUCCCGAAGAGAUUUGGGAGUGCUCGCAAGAGAACCGGAACGCAGGUGCUGCAUGCAGCUGUCGUCAGCUCGUGUCGAGAUGUUGGGUUAAGUCCCGCAACGAGCGCAACCUUGUCAUUAGUUGCUGCCGAAAGGGCACUCUAAUGAGACUGCCGGUGACAAACCGGAGGAAGGUGGGGAUGACGUCGUCCCCUAUGGCCCUUAUGGGUAGGGCUUCACACGUCAUACAAUGGUCGGGACAGAGGUCGCCAACCCGCGAGGGGGAGCCAUCCAGAAACCUGAUCGUAGUCCGGAUCGCAGUCUGCAACCUCGACUGCGUGAAGUCGGAAUCGCUAGUAAUCUGCGGAUCAGCAUGUCGCGGUGAAUACGUUCCCGGGUCUUGUACACACUGCCCGUCACACCAUGGGAGUGGGUUUUACCAGAAGUAGUUAGCCUAACCGUAAGGGGAGGGCGAUUACUACGGUAGGAUUCAUGACUGGGGUGAAGUCGUAACAAGGUAA